GAAGCCCUUCGGGGUGGUUAGUGGCGAACGGGUGAGUAACACGUGGGCAAUCUGCCCUUCACUCCGGGACAAGCCCUGGAAACGGGGUCUAAUACCGGAUAACACCCGCCUCCUCCUGGGGGCGGGUUGAAAGCUCCGGCGGUGAAGAUGAGCCCGCGGCCUAUCAGCUUGUUGGUGGGGUAAUGGCCUACCAAGGCGACGACGGGUAGCCGGCCUGAGAGGGCGACCGGCCACACUGGGACUGAGACACGGCCCAGACUCCUACGGGAGGCAGCAGUGGGGAAUAUUGCACAAUGGGCGCAAGCCUGAUGCAGCGACGCCGCGUGAGGGAUGACGGCCUUCGGGUUGUAAACCUCUUUCAGCAGGGAAGAAGCGCAAGUGACGGUACGUGCAGAAGAAGCGCCGGCUAACUACGUGCCAGCAGCCGCGGUAAUACGUAGGGCGCAAGCGUUGUCCGGAAUUAUUGGGCGUAAAGAGCUCGUAGGCGGCUUGUCACGUCGGGUGUGAAAGACCGGGGCUCAACUCCGGUUCUGCAUUCGAUACGGGCAGGCUAGAGUGUGGUAGGGGAGAUCGGAAUUCCUGGUGUAGCGGUGAAAUGCGCAGAUAUCAGGAGGAACACCGGUGGCGAAGGCGGAUCUCUGGGCCAUUACUGACGCUGAGGAGCGAAAGCGUGGGGAGCGAACAGGAUUAGAUACCCUGGUAGUCCACGCCGUAAACGUUGGGAACUAGGUGUUGGCGACAUUCCACGUCGUCGGUGCCGCAGCUAACGCAUUAAGUUCCCCGCCUGGGGAGUACGGCCGCAAGGCUAAAACUCAAAGGAAUUUGACGGGGGCCCGCACAAGC
rnacentral:rRNA from 1 species